rnacentral:rRNA from 1 species
UAAUGGGUCAGCGACUUAUAUUCUGUAGCAAGGUUAACCGAAUAGGGGAGCCGGAGGGAAACCGAGUCUUAAUUGGGCGUUAAGUUGCAGGGUAUAGACCCGAAACCCGGUGAUCUAGCCAUGGGCAGGUUGAAGGUUGGGUAACACUAACUGGAGGACCGAACCGACUAAUGUUGAAAAAUUAGCGGAUGACCUGUGGCUGGGGGUGAAAGGCCAAUCAAACCGGGAGAUAGCUGGUUCUCCCCGAAAGCUAUUUAGGUAGCGCCUCGUGAAUUCAUCUCCGGGGGUAGAGCACUGUUUCGGCUAGGGGGCCAUCCCGGCUUACCAACCCGAUGCAAACUGCGAAUACCGGAGAAUGUUAUCACGGGAGACACACGGCGGGUGCUAACGUCCGUCGUGAAGAGGGAAACAACCCAGACCGCCAGCUAAGGUCCCAAAGUCAUGGUUAAGUGGGAAACGAUGUGGGAAGGCCCAGACAGCCAGGAUGUUGGCUUAGAAGCAGCCAUCAUUUAAAGAAAGCGUAAUAGCUCACUGGUCGAGUCGGCCUGCGCGGAAGAUGUAACGGGGCUAAACCAUGCACCGAAGCUGCGGCAGCGACACUCAGGUGUUGUUGGGUAGGGGAGCGUUCUGUAAGCCUGUGAAGGUGUGUCGUGAGGCAUGCUGGAGGUAUCAGAAGUGCGAAUGCUGACA